AAUUCUCAACCCCACCGAUUUGUUUUGGGGGGAUUGGACUUGGAGUGUGCUGGCGAAGGUCGGCUCCUCUUUAAAUGCAUCAGUGGAGAGAAACUUGCCCCAGUGUGAUAAUCCUGUUGUGCUGUGGUGGGUGAAAGUCUGCUUCCAACUGUCCUCCGGGACGAUACACCAUCUUA
rnacentral:misc_RNA from 1 species